CAACAGACGACCAAUACUCCUCAGGCCCAGGUCAACCCAGGUCAAAGGUCACCAGGUUGAACAGGUCAUCAGGGCGUCACAAAGAUACACCAGAGAGAGUAGUGAAGAUGU